AAUAGUAACAUUUUUUUCUCUUUGCAAUCUCACAUACUGUAUAUUCCAAAGAGACAAGUAAUUACUGCAGCAUCACUUGAACAUACGUAACAUGAAGCUAAUUUUUUAAGUUUUUUCUACCGUGUAGAUAGAUAUUAGAAUAGAUUAAAUAGGCAAAACGAUGGUUGGUUUUACACAAAAAAAAAAGUUCAGCUUAUGCUUACUUUCCUUUCUCCCUUGUAGCUUCUCAACACACUGUCACCUAACCUAACUCUUGUUUCUUGCUAUAGAGGGGAACCAUGUGUUGUAGACUUUGUUCAUGGUUCAGUUGGAUUAGGCAACUUAUUUUUACCUUCUCCAAAUUCAAAAAAAAUCGACAAGUCUGUAUCUGAAUUCUUGGUGGAAAAAGUUUCUGAAUAUCCUGGUGAAAUGUCUAUACUUGCAUUAAGACCAUUGACAAACUUGGCUUUGUUAAGCUGUCAAGUGGGACUCAACCUUUGCAAGCAAGGUGAAGAGAGUGGUUGUACUUGGUGAUUCCUCUUUUGCUGUAGAAAAUGUUAACCCUGCCGCACAAGCAAAUGUGGGUGAUUUCUUUCCCAAUGGGUUUGCUGACGAAGCAUAUAUAUGGGGACCCUGAGGCUGCUGAUGUUGUGUUUACGUGGGGGACAAAUAUUCAUGUUGUAGGCAUCAACAUUACAACACAAGUCCAAUUGAAAGAUGCUGAUCUUGAAGAACUAAAGCAAUCCGAAGGAAAACACGCUAAGUUUGUGUGUGAUAUGUCAAAUUUUACCGUGAUUGGCACGUGAAAUUCAGUCGGUGUCUAUGGUAAUAUAUAUGUUCUUAUAUUGUUUUUGGAUGACUGACAAUGCUUCUUAAACCACUUUUUUGCUAUCUCGUGAUCAUCUCUUAUCAAUUGGCGAUCAAACUCUUCAAAAAAGUAUGUUACUAUGUGUUUGAUGUAUAAAUUGUUGGUUUUUUUGUCGAAUAUUCAUUUUUUGUUUUUAUGGGUAUGGUGAUUUGUUAUACGAUCACAUUUUCUUUUCUCUGUUCCAAAUGAUCAUGGAGUUCUACUUCACAUGCAAAUGUGGAAAAUAGAGUGGACAUCAACACACUUCUAGAGGAUGAAGAACAUAUCAUCGAAUGCGAGAAGGUCCCAAGUUGCCGUGUCAGAUGGAGGAUCAUGGCAUGCCCCUUGGCAGCUUAGCUGCCAACUAUGUGGCUAUCUCCAAGCUUUGCAGACAUCACCAUCAGUUGUUGCUGCUGGAUUGGUUAUUGAUUAUCUUAUUAUAUCGCCAGCAACACAACUGUGAGAUUAAUUGAUACGUGGUUAUGCAAGGCUGCCAUGACUCCAACUCCGCCAUUUGGACUCAUAAGGACGAUUCAAGGUAAGUAAUCUAAUCCAUUAGUUAUGGUAUGUUACAUGCUAUUUCUAACACAUUAAACCUAUUUCUACAAAUAUCAGCUCUCUCAUCUCUUUCCCUCUUUUAGUUCUCCAUACACACACUCUCUAUUUCAAUGAGUAUUGUUGCAGCUGUACGAAAAGUAAAGAUCAAAUUUAGUAGUUAGAAAUAAUGAAUCUUUCCCUCCCUGUAUGUGUAAACUCUCCAUUUCACCUUUAUUUUCUGGAUUUCUCCUUCUUAUAUCAAUAACAAUAAUUUUCCGGUUUUCUCAGUGUUUGCUGUUUAGAAAAUUAUUGCGGAAACUAUAUUUUUUGUUCUCAGAUAAAGCCGUAAAAGUUAUUGGAAAGAUUAGGCAACGCUUGGCCUAAAUAAAGUUACUAAUUCUACCGUUCUACUACAAGGACAUAUUAGUUGUCAUGAUUAUUGGAUGGUUAACAUGUUUUUAUUUCAUUGAAUUGCAAUGUGUGCAACUAUACCUAUCUGAAAUGGCUCCAUACAAAUACAGAGACGCACUCAACGUUGAUUUCAAC